rnacentral:rRNA from 1 species
UACAGAGGUCCCAAGCGUUGUUCGGAUUCACUGGGCGUAAAGGGUGCGUAGGUGGCCAGGUAAGUUUGGUGUGAAAGCUCGGAGCUUAACUCCGAAAAGUCAUUGAAUACUAUCUGGCUGGAGGGUCGGAGGGGAGACUGGAAUUCUCGGUGUAGCAGUGAAAUGCGUAGAUAUCGAGAGGAACACCAGUGGCGAAGGCGAGUCUCUGGACGACUCCUGACACUGAGGCACGAAAGCUAGGGGAGCGAACGGA